rnacentral:lncRNA from 1 species
UAGCCAUACAAGUGCUUGACCUCUAUAGGUAUCUACUUAGAAUCAGCCUGGAACAAUCCUCUAUGGUGUUGGUUGUUCUUCUUCAAAAACGAUCACCCUGCAAAUCUGAACGAAGUCUGAAUCGUGAUCAACUCUUUGAUCCUUUCUUUAAUCUUUUUUCUCUUCUUUUCUUGCUCUUUUUUCCUUGGUUAUGUAGCAGCCA